UGAGUUCCUGUAUAAUUUAUGUUUCUGCCUCUCAUACAUCUGGCGACGUGGUCGUCAAAGUAUUCGCAAAUACUAUCACUUGCGAGACAUAUAUUCAAAUCAUUUGGCGUUUGAGGUCGGCUACAUCAAUCAUGUCAUAAUGGCAAAGUAUCAAAACAUGUUGGAACUCUAUCAGUUCAGCAUUACAAAA